rnacentral:rRNA from 1 species
CAGGAUUAGAUACCCUGGUAGUCCACGCCGUAAACGAUGUCGAUUUGGAGGUUGUGCCCUUGAGGCGUGGCUUCCGGAGCUAACGCGUUAAAUCGACCGCCUGGGGAGUACGGCCGCAAGGUUAAAACUCAAAUGAAUUGACGGGGGCCCGCACAAGCGGUGGAGCAUGUGGUUUAAUUCGAUGCAACGCGAAGAACCUUACCUGGUCUUGACAUCCACAGAACUUGCCAGAGAUGGCUUGGUGCCUUCGGGAACUGUGAGACAGGUGCUGCAUGGCUGUCGUCAGCUCGUGUUGUGAAAUGUUGGGUUAAGUCCCGCAACGAGCGCAACCCUUAUCCUUUGUUGCCAGCGGUUCGGCCGGGAACUCAAAGGAGACUGCCAGUGAUAAACUGGAGGAAGGUGGGGAUGACGUCAAGUCAUCAUGGCCCUUACGACCAGGGCUACACACGUGCUACAAUGGCAUAUACAAAGAGAAGCGACCUCGCGAGAGCAAGCGGACCUCAUAAAGUAUGUCGUAGUCCGGAUUGGAGUCUGCAACUCGACUCCAUGAAGUCGGAAUCGCUAGUAAUCGUAGAUCAGAAUGCUACGGUGAAUACGUUCCCGGGCCUUGUACACACCGCCCGUCACACCAUGGGAGUGGGUUGCAAAAGAAGUAGGUAGCUUAACCUUCGGGAGGGCGCUUACCACUUUGUGAUUCAUGACUGGGGGA